CCUACGGGAGGCAGCAGUGGGGAAUAUUGCACAAUGGGGGAAACCCUGAUGCAGCGACGCCGCGUGAGUGAAGAAGUAAUUCGUUAUGUAAAGCUCUAUCAGCAGGGAAGAAAAUGACGGUACCUGAGUAAGAAGCCCCGGCUAACUACGUGCCAGCAGCCGCGGUAAUACGUAGGGGGCAAGCGUUAUCCGGAUUUACUGGGUGUAAAGGGAGCGUAGACGGCAGUGCAAGUCUGGAGUGAAAGGCGGGGGCUCAACCCCCGGACUGCUCUGGAAACUGUACGGCUGGAGUGCAGGAGAGGUAAGUGGAAGUCCUAGUGUAGCGGUGAAAUGCGGAGAUAUUAGGAGGAACACCAGUGGCGAAGGCGGCUUACUGGACUGUAACUGACGUUGAGGCUCGAAAGCGUGGGGAGCAAACAGGAUGAGAUACCCCUGUAGUC
rnacentral:rRNA from 1 species